rnacentral:rRNA from 1 species
CCUGGUUGAUCCUGCCAGUAAUCAUAUGCUUGUCUCAAAGAUUAAGCCAUGCAUGUCUACAAGUACAUGCCGAAAUAAGGCGAAACCGCGAAUGGCUCAUUAAAUCAGUUAUGGUUCCUUAGAUCGUUUCUUCCUACUUGGAUAACUGUGGCAAUUCUAGAGCUAAUACAUGCAGUGAGCCUGGAGCCCUUUGGGUAACGGGUGCUUUUAUUAGACCAAGAUCGAUCGGGUUUCGGCCCGUAUUGUGUGGUGACUCUGGAUAACUUUGUGCUGAUCGCAUGGCCACGAGCCGGCGACGUUUCUUUCAAGUGUCUGCCUUAUCAACUUUCGAUGGUAGGUUACUUGCUUACCAUGGUUGUUACGGGUAACGGAGAAUCAGGGUUCGAUUCCGGAGAGGGAGCCUGAGAAACGGCUACCACAUCCAAGGAAGGCAGCAGGCGCGCAAAUUACCCACUCCCGGCACGGGGAGGUAGUGACGAAAAAUAACAAUACGGGACUCUUUUGAGGCCCCGUAAUUGAAAUGAGUACACUCUAAAUCCUUUAACGAGGAUCAAUUGGAGGGCAAGUCUGGUGCCAGCAGCCGCGGUAAUUCCAGCUCCAAUAGCGUAUACUAAAGCUGCUGCGGUUAAAAAGCUCGUAGUUGGAUCUCAGUUCCAGACGAGUAGUGCAUCUACCCGAUGCGACGGCUCGGACUGAACAUCAUGCCGGUUCUUUCUUGGUGCACUUCAUUGUGUGCCUCGAGAUGGCCGGUGCUUUUACUUUGAAAAAAUUAGAGUGCUCAACGCAGGCGAGUCGCCUGAAUAAACUUGCAUGGAAUAAUAGAACAAGACCUCGUUUCUGUUCUGUUGGUUUUUGGAAUACGAGGUAAUGAUUAAGAGGGACGGACGGGGGCAUUCGUAUUGCGGCGCUAGAGGUGAAAUUCUUGGACCGUCGCAAGACGAACUACUGCGAAAGCAUUUGCCAAGAAUGUUUUCAUUGAUCAAGAACGAAAGUCAGAGGUUCGAAGGCGAUCAGAUACCGCCCUAGUUCUGACCAUAAACGAUGCCAACCAGCGAUCCGCCUGAGUUACUCAAAUGACUCGGCGGGCAGCUUCCGGGAAACCAAAGUAUUUGGGUUCCGGGGGAAGUAUGGUUGCAAAGCUGAAACUUAAAGGAAUUGACGGAAGGGCACCACCAGGAGUGGAGCCUGCGGCUUAAUUUGACUCAACACGGGAAAACUUACCCGGCCCGGACACUGGGAGGAUUGACAGAUUGAGAGCUCUUUCUUGAUUCGGUGGAUGGUGGUGCAUGGCCGUUCUUAGUUGGUGGAGCGAUUUGUCUGGUUAAUUCCGAUAACGAACGAGACUCUAGCCUAUUAAAUAGGUGCGGGGUUCCCAGCACCUUACAACCUUCUUAGAGGGACAAGCGGCUCCUAGCCGCACGAAACAGAGCAAUAACAGGUCUGUGAUGCCCUUAGAUGUCCGGGGCCGCACGCGCGCUACACUGAAGGAAGCAGCGUGUCUUUAUCCCUGUCUGAAAAGACUGGGUAACCCGUGGAACUUCUUUCGUGAUUGGGAUAGGGGCUUGCAAUUGUUCCCCUUGAACGAGGAAUUCCCAGUAAGCGCGAGUCAUAAGCUCGCGUUGAUUACGUCCCUGCCCUUUGUACACACCGCCCGUCGCUACUACCGAUUGAAUGAUUUAGUGAGGUCUUCGGACCGAUGUCCGGCGCGGCCUUUCGGUUGCGCCGGUCUGUUGGAAAGAUGACCAAACUUGAUCAUUUAGAGGAAGUAAAAGUCGUAACAAGGUUUCCGUAGGUGAACCUGCGGAAG